AUAAUAUAUAAUAUAGACCCGUCAAGUUUUAGGAUAGCAAAAAAAUCGUAGGGUUUGGUGUAGAGCUCUACAGCGCUACACGAAGCGUGAAAUCUUACACAGCUGUUAUGUAGAUCAAUACCAGAAGUAAACCAGGGUUGAAAAAUUAUGUUGCCAUGACAACGGAAUUUUCCGACUGGUGUAUUUUCUGGAUAAAAAAUGCUGAGCCAUUGUUUCCGAAAAAAAAUGCUGAACCAUUGUUUCCGAAAAAAAAUGCUGAACCGUUGUUUCCGAAACAAAUGCUGAAC